CAACCUAGUCAGUUGUUGUCCGGACAUGUUCCAGUGUUGUUGCUGCUCCUCCUCGCUUUCCUCCAGCUCCUGUGAACCAGACAACUGACGUGCUUGCACACAGAAAGGCCACAGAUCUCCGAAGUCUGACUUUCUAUAUGAGGGAGGAGCCAGCAGCUGAAAUUAAAGAACACCUCAAGAAAAUAAUGUCAAAUUUGUUUAUAUGUAGGAUACAGACUCGGAGGAAAUGUGUGUCAAAGGGGUUGAACUCAUCGUCAUCUGUGACUUGACAACUGCCUUCAUCCCUCUGUUUGGACUUAUCUACGCUCUCAAACUGGACUACCCCAUAGGGUUGCACACUUGAGGCCUGUCAUGAACUUUGGUACAGAGUGCUCUGCCUGUGUUCAGGCUCUAAAGAACAGUUUGUUGAAGAAGCCUGCCAUGAAAACACACGCACACACCCACACAUUAAUUUCAGUGUGUUUUAUUAGUCAUGUGUUUGUGAAGUUUUAACCAUUCUAUCUGUAUUCAGUGUUUCUUCACUGCUGGAUUUGUUUCUCAAAAGACUUAAUACAUAAAUGGUAGGUAUGAGGUAAUGAUCCUGUGCUUAAAGGGAUAGUUCCCAAAAACAGAAAAUGACGCUGUUUCUAGUCGAAUGUGAAUGUUGGGGAUUCUGGACACUUAGAUGACACCGAAGGAGCAGUAUGGAGGAAUGAUAUGUUAAUGAUAUGAUAUGUCUGCUGUAACACUGUUUACCCAUGAAACUCAAAGUGUUUUGCAUAGUGGUGAGUAAAUAAUGACUGAAUUUUUGUUUUUACUGUGUUAUUCGGUUACAUUUACAUUGUGACUUGCAUUAUCAUGUGCUUUGUUUUGUAAAGAAUUGUGCAAUGGAACCAUUAGGUUAACAUAAGGAUGAAUAUUGACACUCAAAAUGUCGGCUGUUACUAUUUCAAUGUUGCCUAUGUUGGCAGUUAAGUUAUUGGUUUUAUAAUGGUUUGCACCAAAUGUUUACCAAUUGUUCAUAAUGAAUAGAUCAUGUUUCAAGAA